GAAAAGCUUCGGAAACAUCAGCAGCACUUGCAGCGACAGAGGGAUGCCAUCACCAACAGGAUGAAGAAGCUGGCGGCUAAGCAGGUGGAGAUGACAAAAAAGACUAAUGAGGUUAAGGAGAAAAUCAAGAAGAAGUAUGAAGACAUGAAGAGGGUUCUGGAUGAGGACCUGCGGAUCACACUGACCCAGCUCGACACCGAGUUCGAAGCCACUGAAAAACUGGUGGAGGAGAAAAUAGAGGAUUGUUACCAUCUGACCCAGGAAUUGGAUCAAGAACUGAUGAACGCCGGAACUCAGAAUUCAGAAAUAGACCAAAGAAUAUCCGAGUCUCUGAAAAAAAGCGACCCUGACCUCAUCCAGACAGAUGACUUCAGGAACCAACAGUUGCUGAGUCUGACCAUCAACCUACUGCUUUUCAUCAGGUCUCAGAUCCCUAUCUCCAAGAAGUUGUUUCAGACAUGUGAGUUGAGAACUCCAUGCAGGAUAUGUCUUUUUUAUUUUUAUCAAGAUUUCCCACAGUGGCAAAAUGAUGUAUUGACUUGUCUUACACAGAUGCAGCAGAUGUGGUCCUCGAUGCAGGUACUGCUCACCCUAAGCUGA
rnacentral:lncRNA from 1 species